UUAUAGGCAUAGCCGCAUGGUAGUUUUGUCGCAAGAGGGGUAAUCUUCACACAAUCCCAUGUACUGAAUAGAAAGGGAUAAAGAGUCGGCUUACAAUCGCCACUUCACACAAUACAUAAAUAAUCCAUACAUCAUCCAAAGUACAAUCAAAGGUCCGACUACGGAACCAAAAUAAAGGAAGACAACCCCCAAUGCUAGAUCCCCAAUCGUCCCAACUGGGCUCCACUACUGAUCAUCAGGAAACGGAACGUAAUAACGACCCAGAUCCUCGUCGAACUCCCACUUGAGUUCGGUGGCAUCCCCGACACUGGCAUCAUCGACACCUGCAACUGUUUGGAAGUAUCUGUGAGUCAUGAGCACUUAGCAAUCUCACACCCGCGAGAUCAAGACUAUUUAAGCUUAUGGGGAGGAGAAGGUAGUGAGGUCGAGCUGUAGCAAGAACUAAGCAUAUAUGGUGGCUAACAUAUGCAAAUGAGAGCGAGAAGAGAAGCAACGCAAUGGUCGAGAAGCUAGAAGUGAUCAAGAAGUGAUCAUGAAACUACUUACGUUCAAGCAUAACACAAGACCGUGUUCACUUCCUGGACUCUGCCAAAAAGAGACCAUCACGGCUACACACGCGGUUGAUUCAUUUUAAUUAAGUCAAGUGUCAAGUUCUCUACAAUCGGAUAUUAACAAAUUCCCUUCUGCCACAUAACCUCAGGCACGGCUCUCGAAAGUUUAUACCCUGCAAGGGUGUCCCAACUUAACCCAUCACAAGCUCUCACGAUCAAUGAAGGAUAUUCCUUCUCCCGAGAACACCCGAUCAGUCUCGGAAUCCCGGUUACAAGACAUUUCGACAAUGGUAAAACAAGACCAGCAAAGCCGCCCGCCUAUGCCGACAAAUCCCGAUAGGAGCUGCACAUAUCUCGUUCUCAAGGCACACCAGAUUAUCCAAACUUCUGGUAGCCCAGCCCAGAGUUGCCCCUGGUGGCCAUCGGCGGUUGAUAGGUUGGACCAACACUCAGAGGAGCACUGGCCCGGGGUUUAAAAUAAAGAUGACCCUUGAGUCCACGGAACCCAAGGGAAAAGUCUUAGGUGGCAAAUGUUAAAACCAAGGUCGGGCCUUGCUGGAGGAGUUUUAUUCAAAGCGAACUGUCAAGGGGUUCCCAUAACACCCAACCGCGUAAGGAACGAAAAAUCAAGGAACAUAACACCGGUAUGACGGAAACUAAGGCGGCAAGAGUGGAACAAAACACCAGGCGUAAGGCCGAUCCUUCCACCCUUUACCAAGUAUAUAGAUGCAUUAAAGUAAAUAAGAUAUAAUAAUGAUAUCCCACUAAUAUCCAUGUUCCAACAUGGAACAAACUUCAACUUCACCUGCAACUAGCAACGCUAUAAGAGGGGCUGAGCAAAAGCGGUAACAUAGCCAAACAAUGGUUUGCUAGGAAGGUGGGUUAGAGGCUUAACAUGGCAAUAUGGGAGGCAUGAUAUAACAAGUGGUAGGUAGCGCGACAUAACGAUAGAGUGAACAACAAGCAAGCAAAGAUAGAAGUGAUUUCGAGGGUAUGGUCAUCUUGCCUGCAAUGUUAUCAGAGUUGUCGAAAGCUUGAUACUCGAUAGUGUACUCAACAUGUUCCUCGGUCACGUACUCGUCUCCCAGCUCUACCCAAGGCAAGAACACAAGCAAUGGAACAACAAUCAAUCAUUGUGCAAUGCACAAGCAACAUGAUGCAAUACAUGGCAUAAUAUGCAAGAUAUGAUAUGCAAUGCAUAUGCGUGCUCUGGAAGGGAAAGAAUAAUCAAUACAUCAACUUGGCAAACCAAGUAUGCCGCUGGAAAGAUGAGAUGAUUUCGGUUGAAAUCGAUAUAAAGAUCACCGAAAACGGAUGCACGGUUUGUAAAUGGCAAGAAAAACAAGAAUGAUGCAAAACUGCGAUUAACAACACGAGGCCACUUAGAAUGCAACAAGAAACUAAGCUACUGCACUCCAACAUAGCAACAAAGCAUAUGGAAGUGAUGUACAAGAGAUUCUUGACAAACCAUGAACACUGAGCUAUGACUAAAUCACACUACAACAAGUUCAAACAAGCAUGGCAAAAUUGUAAAAGAUAUCAGCUUCACAGACUUAGUGAAAAUAUUAAUAUGUCAAAAACAACAUCAAGAAGCACUGUUUAGAGCAAGCAAACAACAUGCUAGAGGAACAUAUCAUGGAAAUUAAAAGAAUGGCAUGAUUCUACUCAAUGCAUUGAACAAAUUACCCUUACUGAACAUCAGCCAAAAAGGCACAGAAGAUAUGAUGGCACCCAUGUAAACGUAGCAAGUUUUAUAAACAGAUUCAGACUUAGAAGAAAAACAGAGCAUGGCAUUAACAGAAUUAUGAUAGCAACUUUGCAAGCUUGUGGCACUCAUCACAAUGCACUAAAUGACAUGGAAUAAAUUCUAGCAUGGGGUAGGCAUGAAAAUGAAGCUAUACAUGUGCCAAGCGACCUGAUAGCAUAAUUGAAUUAAAUCACAAAAAAAUUGACAAAACAACAUCAUGAUAUAAAAUGACAUGUUCAUGAACUUGCUCAAAUGCAAAAACUAGUGGCACCACUGGAUUGAUGGGAUUUUUCUACCCCAAAAGCAUAUAUAAUAUGUGGGGGUUGCUGUGGAAAAUACCCACAAAAUGCACUAAGCCAAAUACUGCCUUAAAUGAAAAAAUGGACAGAAAUGAAAAAUGCCUGAUUAGGAAUGACCUGAUUUGGACAUGACCUGAAAUGGAAUAAGGCAUAUUUCCAGAAAUGGAAAUUCGCUGGGCUAAAAAUAAAAAUGAGGGAGGGGUUGCUAGAGGAUGACAGGUAGGGCCCUGCAGUCAGUGUCACGCUGGAAGAAAUAAAAGGCCCCAGCAAAAUAUGCACAGCGUGAGUGGUUAACCGCUGAGUUACGUCGAGACGGCUGAUAGCACUGGGGCUCGUCUCCUUAAGAGAUGGCCCAGGGUCGAGCUCCUCUGUUCAGAUAGAGAAGACGACGACAGCGCUGGCGAGGGCAGCCGCGGCGAUGGAGGGGCUAGAGAGGCCGCGUCGAGCGUGCGGGGAUGUCAAGGGAGCGCGGGCAACAGGGAGUUGGGGCGUUCCAGCAUGAGCUUGGCUCUGCUUAGGGACAUGGCAUCCGCGGCGAGCACCGGCAGCAGCUACGGCAACGCGAGGCAAGGACGGUCGUGCGCUCGAGCGGGGCGACGUGAGCGCAUGCGCGGCCUACGAGCAAAAGAAGCUGGACUGCAACUACGAUGGAAACUUUGGGCUCGCUUCCGAGGACGACCAUGGUGGACGAAACGGAGCUCUCGAAUCCGCGGCCUACGACGAUGCAAACUUGGUACAAGAGAGAGAGGAGGUGGGGGUCGUCACCGUGGGGCUGAAGGCGUCGGUGACUGGGUUGUGGAAGCGACAGAGACGACGACGGAAGGCGCGAACGGCACGUCCGUGAAGUAGGCGUAUGAAGACGACAAGGGAACGUCAUAGAAGAAGCUUCGGCCGGGAUUCGAGGACGCGGGUGACGUCGUGGACGAAGAGGAAGACGCCCGCAAGGCUCCCGUGGUUGAAGAAGGAUGCUACAGCGACAAUCGAGCCGGGGAGGAGCUCAAGCUCUCCUCGGCCAUGGCGCGGCG
rnacentral:lncRNA from 1 species